AGCAGCCGCGGUAAUUCCAGCUCCAAUAGCGUAUAUUAAAGUUGUUGCAGUUAAAAAGCUCGUAGUUGAAUUUCGGGAUCAAUACGUCGGUCGUGCUUCGGUACGUACUGGCGUCAUUGAUUUCUCCCUUCUGACGAACCAUGAUGCCAUUAACUCGGUGUCAUGGGAAAUCAGGACUGUUACUUUGAAAAAAUUAGAGUGUUUAAAGCAGGCUCACGCUUGAAUACAUUAGCAUGGAAUAAUGAAAUAGGACGUUCGAUCCUAUUUUGUUGGUUUUUAGGAUCAACGUAAUGAUUAAUAGGGAUAGUUGGGGGCAUUAGUAUUCAAUUGUCAGAGGUGAAAUUCUUGGAUUUAUUGAAGACUAACUACUGCGAAAGCAUUUGCCAAGGAUGUUUUCAUUAAUCAAGAACGAAAGUUAGGGGAUCGAAGACGAUCAGAUACCGUCGUAGU
rnacentral:rRNA from 1 species